rnacentral:rRNA from 1 species
UACAGAGGUCUCGAGCGUUGUUCGGAUUCAUUGGGCGUAAAGGGUGCGUAGGCGGCGGGGUAAGUCUGAUGUGAAAUCCCGGGGCUCAACCCUGGAACUGCCAUUGGAUACUGCCUUGCUAGAGAGCUGGAGAGGAAACUGGAAUUUACGGUGUAGCAGUGAAAUGCGUAGAGAUCGUAAGGAAGACCAGUGGCGAAGGCGAGUUUCUGGACAGCUACUGACGGCUGAGGCACGAAGGCCAGGGGAGCAAACGGG